rnacentral:snRNA from 1 species
AUGCUCGCUUCGGCAGCACAUUUACUAAAAUUGGAACAAGACAGAGAGGAUUAGCACGGCCCCUGCGCGAGGAUGACACGCAAAUGUAACCCUCCUUU